UAUUAACGUCAGUCAUUAAUCGAAAAAGUGCUACUUUGAUCUUCCCGCCUGAGCAUCAGACAUGGUCACAAAAGAAAAUGGUAUGGCUCGCCAACGCAGUGCAUUUUUUGGAUUGCGUUUCAAAGAACAAUGUGUUCAAAGAAGAAAUGGGCGGGAAUGUAACAGUUCAACGCUAACUGUUUGGCCACGGUAAAGCUGCUGUCGACAUCAAGAGACACGACUUUGAACCUGAAGAAACACGAUUGGCAGAGGAUGCAUAACAAUCAAUGGAAGACCCUGAGCAGGAAAAGGCAGCCAGACGACAUGGAGGAUUGCAGAGAUGCACGAGUAGAGGUGCCUUCAUUCUGCAAGCGAGUAGAAGGAAUCAGUGGUGGGAGAAAGGUCAUUUGUAGAAUGAAUUGAAAGGGAAUUUGAGUCCAUGAAAGAAGCUCACACCACCAAACUACAGAGUGUAAAAAACGUUUUUGCAUAAGAAGUGUUUUGUGAAUCUGGGCCCUGGUCUGCCUAUAACAGCAGCUUCUUCGGGAAGACAUGCCGCUGAUUUGAGGAGGACACCUUGAAGAGGAAUUCAGCUGCUUUGGCUUGUGCGAGACUGAGAGGACAUCAUACCUACAAUGUGAUUGCUGCGAAGUUAAGUGAAAUACAUGUAGACUUUAAAAUUCAGCACAAUGGAAGCAACUUUGUAAAGGCAUUCUUGGAGUUCAGUGGAAAUUAAGAGGACCAAGAUGAGAUGGAUGAUGGAGUGAGGUUUGAGGAGGUUGAGCAAGAACUGAACUUUUUUCUCCCUGCACAUCAACAUUGUGUGGGACACACCCUCAACCUGAUCACCACCAAUGAGGUGGACAAAGCUGCAUCCCAAGGUCCAUCACGAAAAGUGCAAUGUCAAAAUGAGAAGCGCAAUGUCAAAAUGUUCCAGAAUUUGGUCCACAUUAGUUUGAGGCAGUAGAGGACAUUGCAAGCAUGAAAAUAACUGUGCCAUGUGUGACAAGAUGGAGCUCAGAGUACCAUGCCAUCUCCAAACUCAUACAGUAGCCCUCACAGAUGACCAGCUGGGGCAAAUCUGUGCAGACCUGGGUGUGAGCAGCAAACUACAUCCUUGUGAGAUUGCUUUUCUCAAGGAGUACAGUGCAGUCCUACAGCCACUCACGUUCUCUAUUGAUCUUCUUCAGGGAGAGAAGAAGUGUUUUCUUGGCUUUCUUAUCCCAGCAAUCCUAAGCUUGAAGUCUAAGCUCUCAGAGAAAAUACCUCUCUCGACAUUCUCUGCACACAUCAUC